GAUCCUGGCUCAGGACGAACGCUGGCGGCGUGCUUAACACAUGCAAGUCGAACGGAGAACUUUCUUCGGAAUGUUCUUAGUGGCGAACGGGUGAGUAACGCGUAGGCAACCUGCCCUCUGGUUGGGGACAACAUUCCGAAAGGGAUGCUAAUACCGAAUGAGGUCCUCUUUCCGCAUGGAGAGAGGAUGAAAGAUGGCCUCUACUUGUAAGCUAUCGCCAGAAGAUGGGCCUGCGU
rnacentral:rRNA from 1 species